rnacentral:rRNA from 1 species
UACGGAGGGUGCGAGCGUUGUCCGGAAUCACUGGGCGUAAAGGGCGCGUAGGCGGCUCAUGAAGGCUGUGGUGAAAGUCCGGGGCUCAACCUCGGAUCGGCCGUGGCGACUCGUGGGCUGGAGCACUGUAGAGGCGGGUGGAAUUCCGGGUGUAGCGGUGGAAUGCGUAGAGAUCCGGAAGAACACCAGUGGCGAAGGCGGCCCGCUGGGCAGUGGCUGACGCUGAAGCGCGAAAGCGUGGGGAGCAAACAGG